GACGAACGCUGGCGGCGUGCUUAACACAUGCCAGUCGAACGGAAAGGCCCUGCUUUUGUGGGGUGCUCGAGUGGCGAACGGGUGAGUAACACGUGAGUAACCUGCCCUUGACUUUGGGAUAACUUCAGGAAACUGGGGCUAAUACCGGAUAGGAGCUCCUGCUGCAUGGUGGGGGUUGGAAAGUUUCGGCGGUUGGGGAUGGACUCGCGGCUUAUCAGCUUGUUGGUGGGGUAGUGGCUUACCAAGGCUUUGACGGGUAGCCGGCCUGAGAGGGUGACCGGCCACAUUGGGAAUGAGAUACGGCCCAGACUCCUACGGGAGGCAGCAGUGGGGAAUAUUGCAAAAUGGGCGGAAGCCUGAUGCAGCAACGCCGCGUGAGGGAUGACGGACUUCGGGUUGUAAACCGCUUUCGCCUGUGACGAAGCGUGAGUGACGGUAAUGGGUAAAGAAGCACCGGCUAACUACGUG
rnacentral:rRNA from 1 species